rnacentral:rRNA from 1 species
AUACGGAGGGUGCGAGCGUUAAUCGGAAUUACUGGGCGUAAAGCGUACGUAGGCGGUUGGUUAAGUUAGAUGUGAAAGCCCCGGGCUUAACCUGGGAACCGCAUUUAAAACUGGCGAACUAGAGUUGAGUAGAGGGGAGUGGAAUUUCAGGUGUAGCGGUGAAAUGCGUAGAGAUCUGAAGGAACACCAGUGGCGAAGGCGACUCCCUGGACUCGAACUGACGCUGAGGUACGAAAGCGUGGGUAGCAAACGGGAUUAGAAACCCUAGUAGUCC